UACAGAGGUCCCAAGCGUUGUUCGGAUUCAUUGGGCGUAAAGGGUGCGUAGGUGGCGCCGUAAGUCGGGUGUGAAAUUUCGGAGCUUAACUCCGAAACUGCAUUCGAUACUGCGGUGCUUGAGGACUGGAGAGGAGACUGGAAUUCAUGGUGUAGCAGUGAAAUGCGUAGAGAUCAUGAGGAAGACCAGUGGCGAAGGCGGGUCUCUGGACAGUUCCUGACGCUGAGCACGAAGGCCAGGGGAGCAAACGGG
rnacentral:rRNA from 1 species